rnacentral:tRNA from 1 species
GGGGCUGUAGCUCAUCAGGGAGAGCGCCGCCUUUGCAAGGCGGAGGUAGGGGGUUCAAGUCCCCCCAGCUCCACCA